rnacentral:rRNA from 1 species
CCUACGGGAGGCAGCAGUGAGGAAUAUUGGUCAAUGGGCGCGAGCCUGAACCAGCCAAGUCGCGUGAAGGAAGAAGGUCCUAUGGAUUGUAAACCUCUUUUGUCGGGGAGCAAAAGACGCCACGAGUGGCGUUCUGAGAGUACCCGACGAAAAAGCAUCGGCUAACUCCGUGCCAGCAGCCGCGGUACUACGGGGGAUGCGAGCUUUAUCCGGAUUUAUUGGGUUGAAAGGGUGCGCAGGGGGAGGCUCAAGUCAGCGGUAAAAUUGGGGGGCUCAACCUCCUCCAGCCGUUGAAACUGGUUAGCUUGAGUGUGCGAGAGGUAUGCGGAAUGCGUGGUGUAGCGGUGAAAUGCAUAGAGAUCACGCAGAACUCCGAUUGCGAAGGCAGCAUACCGGCGCACGACUGACGCUCAGGCACGAAAGUGUGGGUAUCGAACAGGAUUAGAUACCCUUGUAGUC